rnacentral:rRNA from 1 species
AGAGUGAACGCUGGCGGUAGGCCUAACACAUGCAAGUCGAACGGCAGCACAGUAGGAGCUUGCUCUUACGGGUGGCGAGUGGCGGACGGGUGAGGAAUACAUCGGAAUCUACCUUUUGGUGGGGGAUAACGUAGGGAAACUUACGCUAAUACCGCAUACGCCCUUCGGGGGAAAGCCGGGGACCAGCAAUGGCCUGGCGCUGAUAGAUGAGCCGAUGUCGGAUUAGCUAGUUGGUGAGGUAAUGGCUCACCAAGGCGACGAUCCGUAGCUGGUCUGAGAGGAUGAUCAGCCACACGUGGAACUGAGACACGGUCCAGACCUCGUACGGGAGGCAGCGAGUGGGAACUAGUAGGACAAGUGGACG